AUUGGGUGUAAAGCGCGUGUAGGCGGUUUGUUAAGUCUGAUGUGAAAGCCCCGGGCUCAACCUGGGAAGUGCAUUGGAUACUGGCAGACUUGAAUACGGGAGAGGGCAGUGGAAUUCCUGGUGUAGGAGUGAAAUCCGUAGAUAUCAGGAGGAACACCGGUGGCGAAGGCGGCUGCCUGGACCGAUAUUGACGCUGAGACGCGAAAGCGUGGGUAGCAAACAGGAUUAGAUACCCCAGUA
rnacentral:rRNA from 1 species